rnacentral:rRNA from 1 species
GAUGAACGCUGGCGGCGUGCUUAACACAUGCAAGUCGAACGGAAAGGCCCAAGCUUGCUUGGGUACUCGAGUGGCGAACGGGUGAGUAACACGUGGGUGAUCUGCCCUGCACUUCGGGAUAAGCCUGGGAAACUGGGCCUAAUACCGGAUAGGACCACAUUUUGGAUGGUGUGGUGGAAAGUUUUUCGGUGUGGGAUGAGCUCGCGGCCUAUCAGCUUGUUGGUGGGGUAAUGGCCUACCAAGGCGUCGACGGGUAGCCGGCCUGAGAGGGUGUACGGCCACAUUGGGAAUGAGAUACGGCCCAGACUCCUACGGGAGGCAGAAGUGGGGAAUAUUGCACAAUGGGCGCAAGCCUGAUGCAGCGACGCCGCGUGGGGGAUGACGGCCUUCGGGUUGUAAACUCCUUUCGCUAGGGACGAAGCGUUAUGUGACGGUACCUGGAGAAGAAGCACCGGCUAACUACGUG